rnacentral:tRNA from 1 species
GCCUGGGUGGCUCAGUCGGUUGAGCGUCUGACUUCGGCUCAGGUCAUGAUCUCGCGGUUCGUGGGUUCAAACCCCACAUCGGCCU